GGAGUUGUGGCUCAGUGGUAGAGCACUUGCCUAGCACGUGCAAGGCCCUGGGUUUGAUCCUCAGCACCAUCU
rnacentral:tRNA from 1 species